CUCUGAUGUGUGUUGAGUUUAUUUCCAUAGACAAACACUUUGCAUUAUCAUCACAUGCUUCAGUGCUCUGAGUCUUUAUAACUGUCUGACACAAACAUUUUAUAACACAACAUCAUUACAAAACACACAAACACAAAUGAAUUUCUUCAUCGUCUUCAUUUGGAUUCUGGGAGUUUUUAUUCCAGAAUCCAGAGGAGUUACUGUAACUCAGAGUAAAGCUCAAUCUGUUUCUGUUGGACAAACCGUCAAUAUAAAGUGUACAACUGAUACUGGAAUAUUUACAAAUGAAUUAUUUUGGUAUCAGCAGAAACCUGGAGAAGCUCCUAAACUCAUCGUUUAUGGUGACACUACACGGCGAUUCAGUGGCAGUGGAUCAAACACAGAUUUUACUCUGAGCAUCAGUGAAGUUCAGGCUGAAGAUACAGGAGUUUAUUACUGUCAGAGUUAUCAUUGGAUCAACAGUAAAGCUGUGAUCACACAGUGA